rnacentral:rRNA from 1 species
GAUGAACGCUGGCGGCGUGCCUAAUACAUGCAAGUCGAGCGAACGGACGAGAAGCUUGCUUCUCUGAUGUUAGCGGCGGACGGGUGAGUAACACGUGGAUAACCUACCUAUAAGACUGGGAUAACUUCGGGAAACCGGAGCUAAUACCGGAUAAUAUUUUGAACCGCAUGGUUCAAAAGUGAAAGACGGUCUUGCUGUCACUUAUAGAUGGAUCCGCGCUGCAUUAGCUAGUUGGUAAGGUAACGGCUUACCAAGGCAACGAUGCAUAGCCGACCUGAGAGGGUGAUCGGCCACACUGGAACUGAGACACGGUCCAGACUCCUACGGGAGGCAGCAGUAGGGAAUCUUCCGCAAUGGGCGAAAGCCUGACGGAGCAACGCCGCGUGAGUGAUGAAGGUCUUCGGAUCGUAAAACUCUGUUAUUAGGGAAGAACAUAUGUGUAAGUAACUGUGCACACCUUGACGGUACCUAAUCAGAAAGCCACGGCUAACUACGUGCCAGCAGCCGCGGUAAUACGUAGGUGGCAAGCGUUAUCCGGAAUUAUUGGGUGUAAAGCGCGCGUAGGCGGUUUUUUAAGUCUGAUGUGAAAGCCCACGGCUCAACCGUGGAGGGUCAUUGGAAACUGGAAGACUUGAGUGCAGAAGAGGAAAGUGGAAUUCCAUGUGUAGCGGUGAAAUGCGCAGAGAUAUGGAGGAACACCAGUGGCGAAGGCGACUUUCUGGUCUGUAACUGACGCUGAUGUGCGAAAGCGUGGGGAUCAAACAGGAUUAGAUACCCUGGUAGUCCACGCCGUAAACGAUGAGUGCUAAGUGUUAGGGGGUUUCCGCCCCUUAGUGCUGCAGCUAACGCAUUAAGCACUCCGCCUGGGGAGUACGACCGCAAGGUUGAAACUCAAAGGAAUUGACGGGGACCCGCACAAGCGGUGGAGCAUGUGGUUUAAUUCGAAGCAACGCGAAGAACCUUACCAAAUCUUGACAUCCUUUGACAACUCUAGAGAUAGAGCCUUCCCCUUCGGGGGACAAAGUGACAGGUGGUGCAUGGUUGUCGUCAGCUCGUGUCGUGAGAUGUUGGGUUAAGUCCCGCAACGAGCGCAACCCUUAAGCUUAGUUGCCAUCAUUAAGUUGGGCACUCUAAGUUGACUGCCGGUGACAAACCGGAGGAAGGUGGGGAUGACGUCAAAUCAUCAUGCCCCUUAUGAUUUGGGCUACACACGUGCUACAAUGGACAAUACAAAGGGCAGCGAAACCGCGAGGUCAAGCAAAUCCCAUAAAGUUGUUCUCAGUUCGGAUUGUAGUCUGCAACUCGACUACAUGAAGCUGGAAUCGCUAGUAAUCGUAGAUCAGCAUGCUACGGUGAAUACGUUCCCGGGUCU